rnacentral:rRNA from 1 species
AAUUUUGGACAAUGGGCGCAAGCCUGAUCCAGCCAUGCCGCGUGAGCGAAGAAGGCCUUCGGGGUGUAAAGCUCUUUCGGACGGGAAGAAAUUGCGCUGGCCAAUCCCCGACGCGGAUGACGGUACCGUCAUAAUACUCACCGUCUAACUCCGUGCCAGCAGCCGCGGUAAUACUUAGGGUGCGAGCGUUAAUCGGAAUUACUGGGCGUAAAGCGUGCGCAGGCGGUUGAUUAAGACAGGCGUGAAAUCCCCGGGCUUAACCUGGGAAGUGCGGUUGUGACUGGUCAGCUAGAGUACGGCAGAGGGGGGUGGAAUUCCACGUGUAGCAGUGAGAUGCGUAGAGAUGUGGAGGAACACCGAUGGCGAAGGCAGCGCCCUGGGCCGAUACUGACGCUCAUGCACGAAAGCGUGGGUAGCAAACAGG